rnacentral:rRNA from 1 species
AGUCUGGUGCCAGCAGCCGCGGUAAUUCCAGCUCCAAUAGCGUAUAUUAAAGUUGCUGCGGUUAAAAAGCUCGUAGUUGGAUUUCUGUUGAGGACAACCGGUCCGCCCUCUGGGUGAGCAUCUGGCUUUGCCUUGGCAUCACUUUGGGAACCACUACUGCACUUGAUUGUGUGGUGUGACACCCAAGGAUUUUACUUUGAGGAAAUCAGAGUGCUUCCAGCAGGCAUUUGCCUUGAAUACACUAGCAUGGAAUAAUAUGACAAGACUUCGGCUUUAGCUUGUUGGUUUUUAGAAUUGAAGUAAUGAUUGAUAGGGAUAGUUGGGGGCAUUUGUAUUUAACUGUCAGAGGUGAAAUUCUUGGAUUUGUUAAGGACACACGAUUGCGAAAGCAUUUGCCAAGGAUGUUUUCUUUGAUCAAGAACGAAAGUUAAGGGAUCGAAGACGAUCAGAUACCGUCCUAGUCUUAACCAUAAACUAUGCCAACUAGGGAUUGGAUGUUGUUAUGCACAUGAUUCGUCCAGCAUCUUGUGAGAAAUCAAAGUCUUUGGGUUCCGGGGGGAGUAUGGUCGCAAGGCUGAAACUUAAAGGAAUUGACGGAAGGGCACCACCAGGAGUGGAGCCUGCGGCUUAAUUUGACUCAACACGGGGAAACUCACCAGGUCCAGACAUAGCAAGGAUUGACAGAUUAAUAUCUCUUUCUUGAUUCUAUGGGUGGUGGUGCAUGGCCGUUCUUAGUUGGUGGAGCGAUUUGUCUGGUUAAUUCCGUUAACGAACGAGACCUUAACUUGCUAAAUAGUAACAUGUAAUUGUGGUUAUAUGGGCAACUUCUUAGAAGGACUUUGUGUGUCUAAUGCAAGGAAGUUUGAGGCAAUAACAGGUCUGUGAUGCCCUUAGAUGUUCUGGGCUGCACGCGCGCUACACUGAUGUGUUCAAUGGGUUGACCUUGCCUGGGAUGGCUGGGUAAUCUUUUGAAACCACAUCGUGAUGGGGGUUGAUCAUUGCAACUAUUAAUCUUGAACGAGGAAUUCCUAGUAAACUCGAGUCAUCAGCUCGUGUUGAUUACGUCCCUGCCCUUUGUACACACCGCCCGUCGCUCCUACCGAUUGAAUGAUCCGGUGAAUAAUUUGGAUUGCAGUGGCAAACAGUGUGCUGCGUGCUGCUUUGAAAAAUCUUAUGAACCUUAUCACUUAGAGGAAGGAGAAGUCGUAACAAGGUUUCCGUAGGUGAACCUGC